rnacentral:misc_RNA from 1 species
GUAGGUGAACCUGCGGAAGGAUCAUUAAAAGUAAAUAUGUAUUCUCUGGAAUAUACGUUUCAAACCCAUCUGUGUAUCUUACCUGUUGCUUCCGUACCGCGUGGACUUCGGUCCCCUCAUGCUGUACUUCGGUACGGUUCCAGAGUGCCGGUGCGGAAGGUAUACAUCAAACUCUUGCAUUCCAUGUCUUCUGUCUGAACUGUUAAUAACAAAAGUUUAAAACUUUCAACAACGGAUCUCUUGGUUCUC